rnacentral:rRNA from 1 species
CAGCAGCCGCGGUAAUACGAAGGGUGCAAGCGUUAAUCGGAAUUACUGGGCGUAAAGCGUGCGUAGGCGGUGAGUUAAGUCUGCUGUGAAAUCCCCGGGCUCAACCUGGGAAUGGCAGUGGAUACUGGCUCGCUAGAGUGUGUCAGAGGAUGGUGGAAUUCCCGGUGUAGCGGUGAAAUGCGUAGAGAUCGGGAGGAACAUCAGUGGCGAAGGCGGCCAUCUGGCCUAAUACUGACGCUGAGGUACGAAAGCAUGGGGAGCAAACAGGAUUAGAUACCCGAGUAGUCCCUGUCUCUUAUAC